AAACUGAAGAGUUUGAUCAUGGCUCAGAUUGAACGCUGGCGGCAGGCUUAACACAUGCAAGUCGAGCGGUAACAGAUCUAGCUUGCUAGAUGCUGACGAGCGGCGGACGGGUGAGUAACGCGUAGGAACCUGC
rnacentral:ncRNA from 1 species